rnacentral:rRNA from 1 species
AGUGAACGCUGGCGGUAGGCCUAACACAUGCGAGUCGAACGGCAGCACAGUAAGAGCUUGCUCUUACGGGUGGCGAGUGGCGGACGGAUGAGGAAUACAUCGGAAUCUACUUUUUCGUGGGGGAUAACGUAGGGAAACUUACGCUAAUACCGCAUACGACCUACGGGUGAAAGCAGGGGAUCUUCGGACCUUGCGCGAUUGAAUGAGCCGAUGUCGGAUUAGCUAGUUGGCGGGGUAAAGGCCCACCAAGGCGACGAUCCGUAGCUGGUCUGAGAGGAUGAUCAGCCACACUGGAACUGAGACACGGUCCAGACUCCUACGGGAGGCAGCAGUGGGGAAUAUUGGACAAUGGGCGCAAGCCUGAUCCAGCCAUACCGCGUGGGUGAAGAAGGCCUUCGGGUUGUAAAGCCCUUUUGUUGGGAAAGAAAAGCAGCAGGUUAAUACCCCGCUGUUCUGACGGUACCCAAAGAAUAAGCACCGGCUAACUUCGUG